rnacentral:rRNA from 1 species
CCCGCACAAGCAGCGGAGCGUGUGGUUUAAUUCGAUGCUACACGAAGAACCUUACCUGGAUUUGACAUGCACGUAGUAGUGAACCGAAAGGGGAACGAGCCUUCGGGCAGCGUGCACAGGUGCUGCAUGGCUGUCGUCAGCUCGUGCCGUGAGGUGUUGGGUUAAGUCCCGCAACGAGCGCAACCCUCGUCGCUAGUUACAUGUGUCUAGCGAGACUGCCAGGUUAACCCUGGAGGAAGGUGGGAUGACGUCAAGUCAGCAUGGCCUUUAUGUCCAGGGCUACACACACGCUACAAUGGUCGGUACAAUGGGAUGCCAAGCCGCGAGGCGGAGCAAAUCCUCAAAGCCGGCCUCAGUUCGGAUUGGAGGCUGCAACUCGCCUCCAUGAAGUCGGAGUUGCUAGUAACCGCAGGUCAGCUAUACUGCGGUGAAUACGUUCCCGGGCCUU